UUGACCUCUGCAUGUUGUUAGACUGUGGAGUGCCCAGAGAAAACCCAUGGAUUCACAGAGAAAACAUGCAAACUCCAUGCAGAAAGAUCCCGGUAAGGCCAUGACGUGAACCGGGGAUCUUCUAGCUGCAAGGUGAAAGUGCUAACCACCAAGACACUGUGCAGCCCCUGUAAUAAUAAUAAUAAUUCCUUGCCAGGAAUCCCCCCUAAAUGCAUUGCAAUUUCUACCAAAUGACAGACAUUACCCACAUGUAAAUGUGUGCAACAGCUAAGGGAUCACAGCUGACUGCGUUAAACUUUAAUAAAGUGCUUUGUAGAGGAAUAGCCUCAUUCCAGACUCCUGAAUAUGCUCUGGAGUUCCAAAACAUCUGGUGCUCUGCUCUUUGACACUUGUUUCUGUUGGUUGAGGAAACAAUUGGCUAUCCAGAAUUUUGAAGGACAGUAGGAAAUGGGACGCAUUUGGAAAAAAUUCAAAGUCAUCCUCGUGGUGGUAAAAAUUUGUCAGCGCAGGGUUUUUUUAAACAGCUGUUAAGAAAGUUGUCUUGUGAACAAAUAGAGUUGUACACUUGUGAUACUGUUUAAAGCUUUGGUUGUGCAGCUCCAACAGUAACAUUGCUUUUGCAAAUACAAGAGAAAGAAUAAAUAUGCGUAACUCCAACUAUGAUGCCACUUGUUAGCUGACAGUCCUCAGGGAACACUGUAACUUGUUCAUUUGCAGAGAAGGACACCUACUCUGCAUGUGUUUGUGAUAUCAGUGUGACAGGUGAAACAGCCCAUAAGGUACGUGACCAUGGAACACUGGUGCAUGUGGGAGGAUUCGAAUCAUUAAAGACUUCAUCAUGCUGUGCUUUACCUCAAAAUGGAGACUGCAGUCGAAGUGCAUAUGAGGUUGAUACAACAGCUUCCAACCUUGGAGGAAGAACCUGAUGGCAUGUGGCAGAUAUGAUCAGUCUGAGUCAGUCAUGGUGAAAGACUUUGCCGUGGCAGAGACUAACUGGUCGACUGUGGGCUCUGAAAAACCAAGGACCAAAGGCUCCAUUUUCAAUGCAACAAGCUGUUUCUCGUUGCUAAUACAUGUAGUUUGUAUUGCAUCAUUCCUUUAGUAAAUGCUAUUUUAAUAUUUC